CGAUCAGCUUCUUCAGAAACUCAGCCUACUCCCGCCCCGAUCAAUGACAGGCCGUUUGUGGUCAACAUCAAUAGCUGGGUGUAUGUGGGGGUCAAGGUGGUCACUAACGACCCCAGCAAGAUAGGGUGCAGCUCUCCGUCUAGUCCUCACCAACUGCCAGGCGACCCCCACACAAAACAAUGUGGUCAUUCCGACUGAGAACAUUAUUAAUGCAAAGUGCCCGAACUACGACCCAUGAACGUGUCCGUGUACCCCAUCAACAACACAAUGGUGGGGUUCAGGUACAAAGCCUUCCAGAUCCGCCUGGCUACUCGCAGGUCUACAUUAGAUGUGACGUCAUCAUCUGCUGUCCAGUGACACCAGUGCCAGGUGUGACAGGUCAUGCACCACCAACAAGCCGCUAACCGGACGCCGGAAGAGAGAUGUGGAUACAACAAAUACCACGGAUACAACAGACACGCUAUCCGUCACCGCCCUGUCCCCGGCCAUACAGAUCUACAACGCUGAAACAGCUGGCGGCCAUUGACGGGAACAAUUCCCUGACCUUGACCCUAGACCUGGCUGGUGUCGCUAGCAUACAAACUACUGACUUAGUUUUAUGCACCAUGUUUGUUAUGUUAACUUUCUUAUAUACAAGCAUGUAAGGCCACAUAAGAUAAUUUACUUUGUUAUGUUAACUUUCUUAACUACAAGCAUGUAACACCACAUAAGAUAAUUUACUUUGUUAUGUUACUUUCUUAUAUACAAGCAUGUAAGGCCACAUAAAAUAAUUUACUUUGUUAUGUUAACUUUCUUAUAUACAAGCAUGUAAGGCCACAUAAGAUAAUUUACUUUGUUAUGUUAACUUCCUUAACUACAAGCAUGUAAGGCCACAUAAGAUAAUUUACUUUGUUAUGUCAACUUUCUUAUAUACAAGCAUGUAAGGCCAUACAAGAUAAUUUACUUUAUGUCAACUUUCUUAUAUACAAGUAUGUAAGGCCACAUAGAUAAUUUACUUUAUGUCAACUUUUUAUAUACAAGUAUGUAAGGCCACAUAUGAUAAUUUACUUUGUUAUAUUAACUUUCUUAUAUAUGUAAGCCCUGCUAGGGGGGAUACCUUAAAUCUAUCCUUCUAGGCUUAUCUAACUAACUACUGUCCGGUCAGUGCAAGCCUGGAUAAACCCAGACUGGUUAAUAACCUAACCUUAGUCUAAAUAAUGAAAACAAAAAAAAGCUUUAACAAUAAUAUAACAUUUAUUUAACAAAAUAAUAAAUAUGGAACCAAAAGUUAUUAUAAAAAAACCAGAAUCUAGAUCUAGACAAAACACUCAAGACAUACAAAACAAACAGAACUCAACGAAACAAAACACCAAUUUCGGACCAC